AUGCCGGGCGCGGUGAAGGCGGGGAGCAGGCCGCCGUGGCUGGGGCUCGGGGCGGCCGUGUGGCUGCAGGCGUCGGCGGGGACCAGCUCCGCCUUCGCGCUCUACUCGCACGCGCUCAAGGUGGCUCUCGGCGCCGAUCAGAGCCGCGUCGCGCUGCUGGGGGUUGCCUGCAACGUCGGGGACAGCCUCGGCCUCCUCCCCGGCGUCGUCUGCAACAAGCUCCACCCGGCCCUGCUCCUGCUCGUCGCCGCCGCCUCCGGCCUCCUCGGCUACGGGGUCGCCUGGCUCGCCGUCUCCGGCGUCGCCCCGGCGCUGCCCUACUGGCUGAUAUGGACCGCAUUAUGCAUGGGUUCGAACAGCGGUGCGUGGAUGUCGACCGCCGCAUUAGUAACCAACAUGAGGAACUUCCCACUCAGCAGAGGGGCUGUUGCCGGCAUCCUCAAGGGCUACUCUGGUCUGAGUGCGGCUGUCUACACUGCCAUUUACACCGGUGCGCUUCACGGUUCAGCUGCAAACCUCCUGCUUUUUCUCACCCUGGGAGUUGCCAUCGUGUGCCUUCUGGCGAUGUACUUUGUGAGGCCUUGUGAACCUUCUCUGGUGGAGAAUUCUUCGGAGAGAGUUCACUUCCUGUUCGUACAGAUCAACAGUGCUCUUCUUGGGGUUUAUCUUGUCUGCGCCACGACAUUGGAUCGUUUUGUGACUCUCACCCCUGCUCUGAACUAUUCCUUGAUUGCUAUUAUGGUCAUUCUCAUUCUUGCGCCGUUUGCGAUACCCGUGAAGAUGACAUUGUUUCGAAGCGUCCCAAGGAAAGUCACUUCUGCUGCUGCUGACAGUGAUCACACAGAACCAUUUCUUCUGCCUUCUUCCUCGGAACAGAACUUCGGCAAAAUUGAAGAUGAGGAUGCUGCAGAUAUUGAUCUUCUCUUAGCUGAAGGUGAAGGGGCUGUGAAGCAGAAGAGAAGAAGACCAAAAAGGGGAGAGGACUUCCGGUUCCGUGAAGCUCUGCUAAAGGCAGAUUUCUGGCUGCUCUUUGCAGUAUUUUUUAUAGGUGUUGGGUCUGGAGUCACCGUUCUUAACAAUCUAGCACAAGUUGGAACUGCAGCAGGUGUUGUUGGCACUACUAUAUCAGUCUCUCUCUUCAGUUUGGGCAACUUCUUUGGCCGCUUAGGAGGCGGUGCUGUUUCUGAUUAUUUUGUCAGGUCAAGGACACUUCCACGGACAGUACUGAUCACAUGCACCCAAGUGGUGAUGAUAGUCAACUAUCUAGUCUUCGCGCUGGGUCUCAAAGCCACGCUCUACAUCUCCGUUGCCAUACUCGGCGUCUGCUACGGUGUCCAUUUCUCGGUGAUGGUGUCGACGUCAUCGGAGCUGUUUGGGCUAAAGCAGUUUGGGAAGAUCUACAAUUUCAUCUUGCUGGCGAACCCGCUUGGCGCGCUCGUGUUUAGCAGCCUCGCCGGGUAUGUCUACGAUCAUGAAGCGGCAAAACAGCACAGCGUCGCGGCAGUGGCGGGCUCUGACCAUGUCAUGGUAUGCUACGGCCCCAGCUGUUUCAGGCUCACGUUCUUUGUGCUGUCAGGCAUGGCAUGCUUGGGAACGUUUCUGAGCGUGAUCCUGACUGUGAGGAUCCGACCGGUGUAUCAGACGCUCUAUGGAGGUGGACCCUCGAGCCAGCCCAGGAGCUCUGCGCAUUAA
rnacentral:rRNA from 1 species